rnacentral:rRNA from 1 species
CCUACGGGAGGCAGCAGUGAGGGAUAUUGGGCAAUGGGCGCAAGCCUGACCCAGCGACGCCGCGUGGGCGAAGAAGGCCUUCGGGUCGUAAAGCCCUUUUCCACCUGACGAGGAAGGACGGUAGGGUGGGAAGAAGUCACGGCUAACUACGUGCCAGCAGCCGCGGUAAAACGUAGGUGGCGAGCGUUAUCCGGAAUCACUGGGCGUAAAGGGCAUCUAGGCGGCCGGGUAAGUCGCGUGUGAAAGCCCCUGGCUCAACUGGGGGAGGACAUGCGAGACUGCCGGGCUUGAGGGUCAGAGAGGGACGCGGAAUUCCCGGUGUAGUGGUGAAGUGCGUAGAGAUCGGGAGGAACACCCGUAGCGAAGGCGGCGUCCUGGCUGACCCCUGACGCUGAAGUGCGAAAGCGUGGGGAGCGAACGGGAUUAGAUACCCCGGUAGUCCACGCUGUAAACGAUGGUGACUAGGUGUGGGAGGCGAAAAACCCUUCCGUGCCGCAGCUAACGCGAUAAGUCACCCGCCUGGGGACUACGGCCGCAAGGCUAAAACUCAAAGGAAUUGACGG